UACGGGGGGGGGCAAGCGUUGUUCGGAAUUACUGGGCGUAAAGGGCUCGUAGGCGGCCAACUAAGUCGGAUGUGAAAUCCCCGAGCUCAACUCGGGAACUGCGUCCGAUACUGGCGGGCUUGAAUCCGGGAGAGGGAUGCGGAAUUCCAGGUGUAGCGGUGAAAUGCGUAGAUAUCUGGAGGAACACCGGUGGCGAAGGCGGCAUCCUGGACCGGCAUUGACGCUGAGGCGCGAAAGCUAGGGGAGCAAACGGG
rnacentral:rRNA from 1 species